ensembl:lncRNA
UUCGGUUCUGCUCCUAAACCAGAGCUGACUGAACGAAGUGGACUGCUGGAUUUACUGGAGCCAGGAGAUGGCUGCAUGGCAGACAAGGGUUUCACCAUCGAGAAGCCACUAGCUGAUCGUGGGGCAACGCUGAUUAUACCACCCUUCAAGAUGACAGUUCACUGAAGCGGAUGCUCUGAAAACACAAGCAAUCGCUCGACUUCGAAUCCUCGUAGAAAGAGCAAUAGGCAGAGUCAAGGAAUACCGCAUCUGGGAACGCACUGUCCUUUCACCUUGUCUGCGACAGUCAAUCAGCUGUGGACCGUCUGCUGUGUGAUGACCAACUUCCAGGGACCACUUGAUUUAAAAGGCUACAUCCCUGUUGAAUAGUGUUUCUACUCAAACAUGUACCUAUAAAUAUAAUAUAUAAAUAUUAAAACGAGAGGCACUGAACAUUUGGAGUGGUCCCUUCAUUUUUUCCGGAGCU